rnacentral:rRNA from 1 species
UUCGCCUGUUUCGCCUGUUUAUCAAAAACAUCACCUCUAGCAUCACCAGUUCGCCCGUUUUUCAAAAACAUGUCUUUUUGAAUUAUAUAUAAAGUCUAACCUGCCCACUGAAAAUUUUAAAUGGCCGCAGUAUUUUGACUGUGCAAAGGUAGCAUAAUCAUUAGUCUUUUAAUUGAAGGCUGGAAUGAAUGGUUGGACGAAAUAUUAACUGUUUCAUUUAAAAUUUUUAUAGAAUUUUAUUUUUUAGUCAAAAAGCUAAAAUUUAUUUAAAAGACGAGAAGACCCUAUAAAUCUUUAUAUUUUUUUUUAUUUUAAUUAUAUAGAUUAAUUAAAUUUUAAUAAAUAAAAAUAUUUUAUUGGGGUGAUAUUAAAAUUUAAAAAACUUUUAAUUUUUAAAAACAUAAAUUUAUGAAUAUUUGAUCCAUUAAUAAUGAUUAAAAAAUUAAGUUACUUUAGGGAUAACAGCGUAAUUUUUUUGGAGAGUUCAUAUCGAUAAAAAAGAUUGCGACCUCGAUGUUGGAUUAAGAUAUAAUUUUGGGUGUAGCCGUUCAAAUUUUAAGUCUGU